UACGUAGGGUGCAAGCGUUGUCCGGAAUUAUUGGGCGUAAAGAGCUUGUAGGCGGUUUGUCGCGUCUGCUGUGAAAUUUCGGGGCUCAACCCCGAACUUGCAGUGGGUACGGGCAGACUAGAGUGUGGUAGGGGAGACUGGAAUUCCUGGUGUAGCGGUGAAAUGCGCAGAUAUCAGGAGGAACACCGGCGGCGAAAGCGCGAUACUGGGCCAUAACUGACGCUAAGGAACGAAAGCCAGGGGAGCAAAAGGG
rnacentral:rRNA from 1 species